rnacentral:rRNA from 1 species
GACGAACGCUGGCGGCGUGCUUAACACAUGCAAGUCGAACGGUGAAGCGCCUUCCUUUUUGGUGGGUGUGGAUGAGUGGCGAACGGGUGAGUAACACGUGAGUAACCUGCCCCCUUCUUCUGGAUAACCGCAUGAAAGUGUGGCUAAUACGGGAUAUUCUGGGUCUGUCUCAUGAUGGGUAUGGGACAGAUAUUGUUUCGGUGGGGGCUGGGCUCGCGGCCUAUCUGCUUGUUGGUGGGGUGAUGGCCUACCACGGCGGGGACGGGUCGACGGCAUGGGCGGGUAGCCGGUCAAACUGGGUGAGCGACACGGCGCAGACUGGGACGGGAGGCAGCAGUGGGGAGUAGUGAACAAUGGGCGCAAGUCUGAUGCAGCGGCGCGGCGUGAGCGAUGGAGGCCUUCGGGGUAUGAACCUCUUUCGCCAGUGAAGCAGUCCCGCCUCGUUUGUGGGUGGGUUGACGGUAGCUGGUUAAGAAGCGCCGGCUAACUACGUG